UACGAAGGGGGCUAGCGUUGCUCGGAAUCACUGGGCUUAAAGGGCGCGUAGGCGGGUAUUCAAGUCUGUGGUGAAAUCCGGCAGCUUAACUGUCGAAUUGCCGUGGAUACUGGGUAUCUCGAGGGAGGUAGGGGGGUGCGGAACUAAUGGUGGAGCGGUGAAAUGCGUUGAUAUCAUUAGGAACUCCGGUGGCGAAGGCGGCACGCUGG
rnacentral:rRNA from 1 species